AAGGUCCGUUUAAAAGACGACCCGGAUCCGAAAUUAAACGACCCGAAUCCGUGUGACUCUGUUUCUUGACUCUUAUCUAUCUCAAUUCUUGUUACUACUACUAGCUAUGUUACUUUCUCUGUUACUUAACCUCAUAAUCUGGUACGUUUCAUCAUCGAAAAGGAUCGUUCUGUUUUUUGUGAUUUUAAAAAUCUCAACUUUAUCUGUUUUUUUUUAUGUUUUGGGAUCAGAUCAUCAUUGAUCGUGAGACAGGGAGGUCAAAAGGGUUUGGAUUUGUGACUUUUAAAGAUGAGGAAUCGUUGAGGUCUGCGAUUGAGAGGAUGAAUGGUCAAGAGCUUGAUGGUCGUAGCAUCACUGUUAAUGAAGCUCAGGCUCGUGGUUCUGGUGGUCGUGGUGGUAACGGUGGUGGUUAUAACCGUGGAGGAGGUGGUGGUUAUGGAGGAUCUGGUGGUGGUAGUUAUGGAGGUGGUGGUGGUGGUGGUUAUGGAGGAGGUGGUUAUGGAGGUAGACGUGAUCAACAAGGUGGUUAUAACCGUGGCGGUGGAGGUGGAGGAUACGGUGGUGGUGGUGGUUAUGGAGGUGAUCGUCGUGAUGGUGGUUAUGGUGGAGGAGGUUAUGGUGGUGAUGGAGGAGGUUACGGUGGUCAGGGACGAUCUGAUGGAGGAAGCUGGAGAAAUUAAGCUUUGUUGUGUCUUUGACUCUUUGUUGUUUACUUUUGGUUAUGGAUUUGGUUUAUGUUUUUAUUUGGUUCUCAUGUUUAAGUUUGGAAAAAAAAAAACAAAAUAAAAGUGUGAUGGUUUGGUUCUUAUCACAUUCAAAGAAUUAGAUUGAGUAUUGAAUCAAUUCAGAUUGAUGAAGCAAGUUUGGUACAAAUCUCAAUCAGGGAGAUGUAUAGACUAUAGGUGAAGUAAGAAGCUAACUCUAAUUCAUAGGAUACCAAAGAUUGUAGAUUUGUUCAUAAUCCAGCUUAAUUACAUGCAUAUAGGAACUUUGGUGAUGGGUCGUUCUUACUAAUUCUUAAAGGACCCUAAUUCCUGACCAUUCUCACCUUCUCUAACUUUGGAUGUCGAGUCCGCCUUCUCCGAUACCGGGUAGGAUCACAUCGGGGGAUCCUUAUACUCGUUGACGGAUCUAGAAACAGAUGAUCGAUGAAUAGAUAACAAAGAAAUGCAAAGUUAACUUUAUUGAUAGUUGUAACGUUAGCUCGAAUACAACAUGUUCUCUCGAUGGGGACCUUUAUGGUUGUUUAUAUGAAAUUUGUCUCGCCGUUCCGUUCCCUUCGAUUGUGCAAUCAUCAUUUCGUUUGGCUAUCUACAUCGAAUUACACACUUUUCCCACUUAAAAUUUGGACAUUUUAAUCAAUGUUAGACGAUCGAUAUCAUUCUAGUCAAUAUUGAGUUUGACACAAAUUUGAUAGUUUAUGUACUUUAUUUGAAAACAUAUUUAGCCAUAUUGAAAUCAACAUUGUAUCAAAAUUAAGGUGUAAAACAGCCCAAUACAUGUUGAAAAUUGUUUACUGUGAUCUCUACUGCUUCAAAUCCCUUAAUGGCUAGAAUCAUGUAUUUAUUUUCGUUGAGUAGAGGUCGAACUAUUAGAAUGUCACUGAACUUUAAUCCACGCAGAAACUAUUUAAUAAGCGAAACAUCUAUUAGGAAGCACUAAUAUAAGUUUACUUUUAAGGUUUAUUGCAAGGGUAACCUUAAAUGAAACGACAAUUAAAAUUUAAACAUAUCUUUUCAUAUAUCAGAACUUGAGUUAGGAAGCAACCAUUUAGGGUAUAGUAUCUGUGGAAUCAAGAAUCCUCACAAUGAAUUUGUUAUGAAGAUGAGAACAAAUUCACUUGAUUAUCUCUCUUUAAAGUCAAACAAUUGAUUGAAAAGAAAAAUUAGAUUGCUUGAAGAGCAAACUAGGUGAUGUAGUGAAUUUUACCAAUUAAUAUCCUAAUGCACUAGUGAUCAUAUCAUUAUAGCACUUAGAGUCGAACCACAAGGAAUAAAGUUUGCACAUUACAAGAAUUAAACUAAGCUAGAACAAUGCAGAUAUUUAAUUUCAACUAACAACCUAAGUGAAAUGAAAACAAAGAAGCUAAAUGCAAGAGAAAUAGAUUAAACUAAAGAUAAUUGACCAACUUAAACAAGUGUCUAAACUAAGUAAUUAUCCAUAAACAUAAAGCAAAGACAAAAUGAAUGAGAAACAUGCAAUUUAUAAAAGUCAACAAAAUGUCAACAAAAAGUCAACACAAAAGUCAAAAACGAAAAUGCAAGAAUAUAAAAGUCUAUGGGUCUCUUUAGCUUGGUAGAUUGCCACUAGGAAGCUCAUCAAUUAGGUUUUGGUUCCCAUAUAUGUAAUUAAGACUUUAAUCUAAUGGUUUAAGUCCCUAAUUAUAAACUAAUUCACUUUCAUGACACUAGUUCAUUCUCUAAUUAUUCUUAAUCAUGCUAAGAUUUCUCAAAUGCAAUAAAGAAAUUAGUGAUCAUUAAAUUCAUGCUUAAACACCCUACAAAACAUUCUAGACAUCAACUUCCAAUGGCUAUAAUAUAUUUUGCUCUUUAAGAUUGAAAUUGGCAUUUCAUCAAACAGCUUGUGUGCAUGAAAUGUCUAAGCUAAGGAUUUUAAUUUUCCAAUCAAAUCCUAGCCACGAAUCUAUUCCUAAUGAUAGAUACCUUAAUUACUAACCUUGAGAACCAAUUUCUAACCAUCAAAACUUUCUAAUCUACCAUUAGCCUAAAGACCCAUAAAUUAGGUUUACUCAUACAUGAUUAUGGAAUAAAUCAUGGUGAGAAUUGCAAAAUGAAUAAAGAGAAGAGAAAAGCACAAGCAAAUACGAAAUUGCAAAACAAAAUGAAGUUUAAUCAUCCAAAUCACCAAAGGAUUCAAUUACAAGUGUAUAGAUCCAAUUUCAACUUAGAACAACCAAACUUGGUAAACAAAAAUGUAAAAAGUGCUACAUAAGAGAUCUUGGUCCGAGUUGGGUCGACCCGGUUGGGUCGAGUCUGGAUCGGAUCCGGUUUGGUUACUACAUUUCUCAUCUUCAAAUCUUCAUAACUUCCUAACCGUAACUCCAAAUCCACUUCCGUUUUGACCCAAGUUUCUUGUUUUUGAUGUUCUUCAAUCUAGUCCAGGUGGUUUCUCAAAUUCUUGAGCUUUUCUUUGCACAUCUUCUUGUGAUCCAAGACUUCCUUUUGCCUCUUAAGAUCCAUAUGUCCCUUUUUGUACCCAAAUCAACAUCAAAUGCAAUGCAUAUGCAAUUUUAGGACUCUAAAUGCAAAAUACCUUUAACUACAUGAUAAAUGCAUAUUUACAAGCAAUAAUAGCGAAUUAAGACCUAAAGGUUAUUAAGAAAAAGAGGUUCAAACCACCAAAAUAUCAUGAAAUCACUAGGGUUUAGCUCAAAAGUUGAUUCGAGAACUAGGGUUCUUGUAUUAAUGUUUCGAUGCCUUCAAUAGGGGACAACCCCCUAUUUAUAUGAAAAGAUUUAGAUUACAAGAUAUGUUCAAUCCCCUUAAAUUUAGGGAUUGAUAUUCAUUUUCCUUCUAGGAAACCUAUCACCUCAGAAGUCGGUUUAGCGACCUAAUGUGAUUUUACCCACAACCCGUUCUUAAAGGGCUUUACUCGAGAUACCCCGAUUUAAUUGUAUUUUAAGAUUACUUGGUUUGUCUUUGGUUUAGGUUGGUAUGUCGUUGGUGCUAAUUCUUGUACCAACAGUAUCCCAAUUAGAAAGCAACAAGUACAUUCCUUUAUGUUGUUUCGAUAAAAUUUCCUAGUGAGUAAAAUCUUACAUGGUGUUUUGGUAAGUGCAACAACCUUAAGAAAACUCAUCAUCUCAUUCCUCGGAUCAGGAUCAGUUAUUUAGUCGAGGAUAACAAGUGAUCAGUGAAUGUUUAAGAGAAUGUCCUAACAAAAAUAUAAAAGCUUAUGUACCAUUGUUAUCAAGGACUAUAUCAAAGACUUGCUUGACGCCUAAUAAGUUAAUACUCUAAGUUAAAAUUCAUUGAUUUAAAGCCUUUAAUUGUCGAGAUCGAGUAUUAGCCUUAGGAGAGUAGAAGUAAAGCAACAUAAUCUCAUUGACCUACAACUAAACAAGCUCUUUUUCUAAAAGUUAAACAUCGGUUUUGGAAGCAGAAAGAGAUGGUUACUAUUAACUUUCCUUGAAAGGUAGCCUUAAUUAAAAAGAAACUGAAAAAUUAACUAUAUCUUUUCAAAUACCAUAAGAACUUGAGUUAGAAAGCACAUUUCAAGGUUUUACACAACCAAAUUAUUGCAUAGAGAGUUGAAUAUUUCCAUAUAAUGGGACCAUAAAAGCAACAAAUAGUAAAAUUCUAUUUGUGCUUCCAAAAUGGAUGGUUAACUAAUUGAGAAAAGGAGUUUGUUAAAUUGAAGGGCAAUGAUGUCAUGUUUCUUAACUUAUACUUAACUUAGGCUGAUACUCGAUUUCAACAGUUAGAAGUUUUAAAGCAAUGGAGUUAGAACCAAAGUAUUAUCUUCUUAAAUGCCAUGCAAUCUCAGAUAUAGUCUCUGAUAGCAGUGGUACAGAAGCUUAUUGUUUUUGUAGAGAUAUUCUCUUAAAUAUUUGUUCGCUUGUUAUCUUCAAUAGAAGAACUGAACCAAUGAAUGAGACGAUAAGUUUCCUUAAGUUUGUUGCGCGUAUCAAGACGCCGGAUAAGGUUUUACUCACUAGGACAUUAUAUCAAAAAAAAAAACAUGAAGGGAAGUUUUUGACAUAAGAGUACAAUGUCUACAUCUCUUGCAAUGAGGAUGAGAUGGAUGAUUUGUAAAGAAGUUGAUAUCACAUAUGGCGUAUCAACAAUUCUUUAUGGAUUUUUUUUGAAGUGAUACGGUUUAUACAUAUAAGAGUGUUGAGGUGAUUUCAAAGAGGUUAUACAAGCCUCUUUGCUCGGGCCAAUUUAAAUAAUAUUUCUUGAUGCAAAAUUAGAUUUGGCAUCCAUCAAAGUAUGUAUUCAAUUAUCAAUCUUGCGGAAGCAACAAGGUUUGUAAUACUCGAAGUUAUCACUAACCUAGUAUGACUCAACAAAACUUAAAACAACAAAAUAAAUUUUCUUCCUAUAAACUACACAUAUGAAGACAUAACCACAAGUAGGAAGUAAAUAUUUGCUUGUAUACUUAAUAGGAAGACAUAUCUCAUUAAUGAAAGAUUUCAACCAUGAAAGCAUAUACAAUAUCUUUUUUUUUUUUUUUUGUCGCCGCAUAUACAAUAUCUUGGUUUCAUGAAANNNNNNNNNNNNNNNNNNNNNNNNNNNNNNNNNNNNNNNNNNNNGAAUACAAAAUAAUAAUUAAAACUAUUAUAUUUUACGAAUAUUAUUAAAAAUUAAAUUAUUAGUAGUAAUUAAUUUGAUUAACACUCUCUAUGAUUUUAUUAAUAGUCGUUAAAAUCCCAAACCACUAACACUCCCACAAAACUCUUUUGUUUAACCUUAAAUCUUAUUAAUAUUUAAUUAUUGAUAUGUCUUAAUUUAAAAAUUAAUUAAAAAAUAAUUUAUUUAUUUAAAAGGGUAGUUUAUGUAUAACUGACAAUUUACUGUAGAAAGCCUAGAAGGAAAUUUUUUUUAAAAACAUCCUUUAAAAUCAAAACCCCCUAAUAUGUUAUCAGCUUCAGUUAUAUCGAAAAUCAAUAUAUUUACAAAACCAAACAAAUCAUGAAUUUGAUAUCUAUUUAAAAAUAUUAAAUCACAUAUACUAAAUUUUUAAGAAAUGAAUAUACAUAUAUAUAUAUAUAUAAUAAACGAUAUAUGAAUUUUUAAUUAUCAAAUUAACUUUAAGUAUUAAAUUUAAUUAACUGGGAAGACUAUAAUUGUUUUAUGGAAAUUGUACUAUUUUCUGUAAUAUUUAAUUUGGGUAAAAUAGUUUGAUUAAUACUAAAGACUAUUUUAAAGUUCUUACCAAAAAAAAAGACUAUUUAAAAGUGUAUCAAAAAUCCGGCCAAAAUGCAGAUUUUAAAGAUACAUGUACACCGAAGCCGUUCUGGAUACGAAUCCAAAAAGCAUUAUUUAGACGGUGUAAAGUGAAUCAUGUAAAUUAUAAAAAAUAUUGGUAAUAAGUAGAAUUAGAAGAAUACCAUUUUGUAUGUAAAAUUCAAAACCGCAAUAAUUUGAUAGAAGGGAAAAACUACUUUGCCAAAUAUACAGUACACUAAAAAGACACGAAUUGAUGAGGAAAAAUAUGAACAUAUAAAAAGUUGAAGUUGAUUGAUAACAGCUUAUAUGAAUUUUCUGGUGAGUAUUUUGGAUCUACUGUUUAGUGAUGUUUGAAUUAAUUGCAAGUUAUUAGCUUAGUUAAUUUAUCUAAUUGAAAAAUUAUAACUGUUUAUACACUAAUCAAAAUAACUCAAAAAUUACGACUUAAAAAUCAAGAAUUAAGACUAACCUUUAGUGUAUGAAAUUGAUGUUACCCAUCAUAUCCCUUUUCUUGAUCCAGCCUUUUCUUUGUGCUUCGGUAGUGAAGUACCUACACAAAAGAGAAGAUAUAUGAUUAUAUUCAUCAGACGAUGAUAGAGCCGGCUUUAUUUCCGGUUAAUUUCUGAUGAUAGAGCCAGCUUUGUUUCCGGUUAAAUCAAAAUUUGGAAAUUACUUUUCUAGCAAUGUUGAUUCAAUCUUUUUCUCAAGAGUGGUUACAUAUUUUUCUCUCUGAACUAAUACGCUAUCUCAAAAGAAAAAAAAAUCUGGAGCAUUGGACAAUCCUUAAUGCACUGAUGAGAGAACUCCUCAAUGAGGGUUUUGACGGGAAAAAGAAGACUUGUUUUUGUU
rnacentral:lncRNA from 1 species